rnacentral:lncRNA from 1 species
UCUCAAGAAUUUCUUUAGCACCUGAGAUGAGAGGGUAUGAAUAGGAGCCAGCUACCUUCUUCAAAAGUGGGAAUGGUCUUGAUAAAAAAAACUAAAGCAUCAUCUGCUGUCCAAGAAGAAUUCUCCUGAAAUUAUGCAACUCAUCCUUCCAGCACUGUGCUCCGUAUCACUGCUACUCAAAAUGUGGUCUGUGGGUUUGUUCCCAGCCACAGCAAGUGGGCAGUUCACCAAUAACGCAUUUGAGAAAAUUGCUCACCAACAGCAUUAGAAUUGAGUGAAUUUCGCCAUAUUACUUUUUCAAGCCUCUGACAACUUGACAGGCAGAUUCUUUUAGAGCAAGCCAAUCAAGCCCAGGUGACUGUUUGCUGAACACGUGUGGGCUGCUUCACGCCGGAGCAGCACAGCUGGGCUGGACAGAGAGGGGAACCACACCACAUGGAAGCCUGGCUCCUCCCUCCCACCCACACACAGCAUAGAUGCAGCCUAUCGGUCUCCUUCUACAAAAUGAGAAAAAAGUUCAUUGUAUAUUUGCGUGGUGCCAAAGGAUCACUCUACAAAUGACUUGCCAGUUAUAAGGGGGAGAACAGGACUUUACAAUGGGGGAAUCUGGAGGCCACCACUCAAACCCCGUGACCAAUUUCGGCGUCACCUAUAGUGAGACAC